rnacentral:rRNA from 1 species
UACAGAGGUCUCAAGCGUUGUUCGGAUUCAUUGGGCGUAAAGGGUGCGUAGGUGGCGUGGUAAGUCGGGUGUGAAAUUUCGGAGCUUAACUCCGAAACUGCAUUCGAUACUGCCGUGCUUGAGAACUGGAGAGGAGACUGGAAUUUACGGUGUAGCAGUGAAAUGCGUAGAGAUCGUAAGGAAGACCAGUGGCGAAGGCGGGUCUCUGGACAGUUCCUGACACUGAGGCACGAAGGCCAGGGGAGCAAACGGG